AUUCACACACGAACUCACCCAUUCAUUCACACACCCACUCGUUCACACACCCACUCAUUCACACACUUAACUCACCCACUUGUUCACACAUCCACUCCUUCACACACUAACCCACUCAUUCACAUACUAACUCGCCCACUCGUUCACACACUAACUCACCCAUUCAUGCACUCACUCACACACUAACCCACCCAUUCACUAACUCACUCAUUCACACACUAACCCACCCACUCAUUCACACACUAAUCUACCCAUUCAUUCACACACUAACCCACCCACUCAUUCACACACUAACCCAUUCACACACGAUCUCACCCAUUCAUUCACAAACUCACCCACUCGUUCACAGCCACUCAUUCACACACUAACUCACCCACUCAUUCACACACGCACUCAUUCACACCCACUCAUUGACACACUAACUCGCCCACUCGUUCACACACUAACCCCUUCACACACACACUAACCCACCCAUUCACUCACUCAUUCACACACUAACCCACUGAUUCAUUCACACACUAACUCAUUCACACACUAACUCACCCAUUCACACACUAACCCACUCACACCCUAACACCCACUCGCUCACACACCCAGUCAUUUACACACUAAGUCACCCACUCGUUCACACACAUUCACACACGAAUUCACCCAUUCACACACUAACUCGCCCACUGAUUCACAAACUCACCCACUCGUUCACACACUAGCCCACUCGUUCACACACUAACCCACUCACCACCCAUUCACACACCCACUCAUUCACACACUAACCCACUCAUUCACACAUCCACACACUCCCUCUUUCACAAACUCACCCAUUCACACACUAACCCAUUCGUUCACACACCCAUUCACAAACCCAGUCGUUCAUACACCCAUUCACACACUAACUCCCUCAUUC
rnacentral:lncRNA from 1 species